rnacentral:rRNA from 1 species
AUUGAACGCUGGCGACAGGCUUAACACAUGCAAGUCGAACGAUGAAACUCUAGCUUGCUAGAGAAGAUUAGUGGCGGACGGGUGAGUAACAUUUAGGAAUCUGCCUAGUAGUGGGGGAUAGCUCGGGGAAACUCGAAUUAAUACCGCAUACGACCUACGGGUGAAAGGGGGCGCAAGCUCUUGCUAUUAGAUGAGCCUAAAUCAGAUUAGCUAGUUGGUGGGGUAAAGGCCUACCAAGGCGACGAUCUGUAACUGGUCUGAGAGGAUGAUCAGUCACACCGGAACUGAGACACGGUCCGGACUCCUACGGGAGGCAGCAGUGGGGAAUAUUGGACAAUGGGGGCAACCCUGAUCCAGCCAUGCCGCGUGUGUGAAGAAGGCCUUUUGGUUGUAAAGCACUUUAAGCAGGGAGGAGAGGCUAAUGGUUAAUACCCAUUAGAUUAGACGUUACCUGCAGAAUAAGCACCGGCUAACUCUGUGCCAGCAGCCGCGGUAAUACAGAGGGUGCGAGCGUUAAUCGGAAUUACUGGGCGUAAAGCGAGUGUAGGUGGCUCAUUAAGUCACAUGUGAAAUCCCCGGGCUUAACCUGGGAACUGCAUGUGAUACUGGUGGUGCUAGAAUAUGUGAGAGGGAAGUAGAAUUCCAGGUGUAGCGGUGAAAUGCGUAGAGAUCUGGAGGAAUACCGAUGGCGAAGGCAGCUUCCUGGCAUAAUAUUGACACUGAGAUUCGAAAGCGUGGGUAGCAAACAGGAUUAGAUACCCUGGUAGUCCACGCCGUAAACGAUGUCUACUAGCCGUUGGGGUCCUUGAGACUUUAGUGGCGCAGUUAACGCGAUAAGUAGACCGCCUGGGGAGUACGGCCGCAAGGUUAAAACUCAAAUGAAUUGACGGGGGCCCGCACAAGCGGUGGAGCAUGUGGUUUAAUUCGAUGCAACGCGAAGAACCUUACCUGGUCUUGACAUAGUGAGAAUCCUGCAGAGAUGCGGGAGUGCCUUCGGGAACUCACAUACAGGUGCUGCAUGGCUGUCGUCAGCUCGUGUCGUGAGAUGUUGGGUUAAGUCCCGCAACGAGCGCAACCCUUUUCCUUAUUUGCCAGCGGGUUAAGCCGGGAACUUUAAGGAUACUGCCAGUGACAAACUGGAGGAAGGCGGGGACGACGUCAAGUCAUCAUGGCCCUUACGACCAGGGCUACACACGUGCUACAAUGGUAGGUACAGAGGGUUGCUACACAGCGAUGUGAUGCUAAUCUCAAAAAGCCUAUCGUAGUCCGGAUUGGAGUCUGCAACUCGACUCCAUGAAGUCGGAAUCGCUAGUAAUCGCAGAUCAGAAUGCUGCGGUGAAUACGUUCCCGGGCCU